rnacentral:rRNA from 1 species
UUAGGCAUGCAAGUCGAGCGAGAAGUUUACUUCGGUAAAUGGACAGCAGCGAAAGGGACAGUAAUGUGUAGGUACCUACCCCCCGAUCUGGGAUAGCUGCGGGAAACUGCAGGUAAUACCGGAUAAUGUCUUCGGACCAAAGGUGUGAUUCCGUCAGGGGAGGGGCCUGCAUCCUAUUAGCUUGUUGGUGAGGUAAUGGCUCACCAAGGCAACGAUGGGUAGCGGGUGUGAGAGCAUGACCCGCGUCAUUGGGACUGAGACACUGCCAGACAUCUACGGAUGGCUGCAGUCGAGAAUCUUCGGCAAUGGGCGAAAGCCUGACCGAGCGACGCCGCGUGCGGGAUGAAGGCCCUCGGGUUGUAAACCGCUGUCGUUAGGGAGGAAAUGCAAAAGGGUUAUCCCUUCUGUUUGACCGAUCCAAGGAGGAAGUACGGGCUAAGUUCGUGCCAGCAGCCGCGGUAAGACGAACCGUACGAACGUUAUUCGGAAUUACUGGGCUUAAAGGGUGCGUAGGCUGCACGGAAAGUUGGGUGUGAAAGCCCUCAGCUCAACUGAGGAAUUGCAUCCAAAACUGUCGUGCUUGAGGGAGACAGAGGUGAGCGGAACUCAAGGUGGAGCGGUGAAAUGCGUUGAUAUCUUGAGGAACACCGGUGGCGAAAGCGGCUCACUGGGUCUCUUCUGACGCUGAGGCACGAAAGCUAAGGUAGCAAACGGGAUUAGAUACCCCGGUAGUCUUAGCUGUAAACGAUGAGCACUUGAUUGGAGGGUCCUCCAUAGCCUUCCAGUCGUAGCGAAAGUGUUAAGUGCUCCGCCUGGGGAGUAUGGUCGCAAGGCUGAAACUCAAAGAAAUUGACGGGGGCUCACACAAGCGGUGGAGGAUGUGGCUUAAUUCGAGGCU